rnacentral:lncRNA from 1 species
GAUCAAUGGGCCAAGGCCAACAGGAUGAGGUUUAAUAAGGCCAAAUGCUGGGUCCUGCAUUUCAGUCACAACAACCCCGGGCAGCGCUACAGGCUUGGGGAAGAGUGGCUGGAAAGCUGCCCAGCAGAAAAGGACCUGGGGGUGUUGGUGGACAGCAGGCUUAACAUGAGCCAGCAGUGUGCCCAGGUGGCCAAGAGGGCCAAUGGCAUCCUGGCCUGUAUCAGGAAUAGCGUGGCCAGCAGGAGUAGGGAAGUCAUCGUGCCUCUGUACUCGGCACUGGUGAGGCCUCACCUUGAGGGCUGUGUUCAGUUCUGGGCCCCUCCCUACAGGAAGGAUAUUGAGCUGCUGGAGUGUGUCCAGAGAAGAGCCACCAAGCUAGUGAGGGGUCUAGAGAACAAGUCCUAUGAGGAGAGGCUGAGGGAACUGGGCAUGUUUAGUUUGGAGAAGAGGAGGCUGAGGGGAGACCUCAUUGCCCUCUACAACUACCUGAAAGGAGGUUGCAGAGAGGUGGGGGUUGGCCUCUUCUCCCAGGGGAAUAAUGACCGGACCAGAGGAAAUGGUCUGGAGUUGUGGCAGGGGAGGUUUAGAUUAGAUAUUAGGAAGAAUUACUUUACUGAGAGAGUGGUCAGGCACUGGAACAGCCUGCCCAGGGAGGUGGUGGAGUCACCAUCCCUGGAGGUAUUUAAGAAAUGUGUAGACAUGGCUCUUCAGGGCAUGCUCUAGUGCCCGAGAUUAUUGGGGUGUGGUGGGGUGUUGUAUGUGGUGCUGUUGGUAUGGGGCUUGGUUGGUGGGUGUUGUGUGGUGUGGUGUUUGUUGUGGGUGUGGUGGUUUUUUGUUGGUUGGUUUGUUUGUUUGUUUGUUUUUUGCUGUGUGGUUGGACUCUAUGAUCUCAGAGGUCCCUUCCAACCACCGAGAUUCUGUGAUUCUUUCUUUCAUGUUAGACCAUUAUGUUACGUUCUGGUCCAUUGUGUUUUUCUGUGGCCUGGGUUGGCAGGGAGAUCAUGCCAAGUACAAGUGGCCUGAAGGGGGGG